rnacentral:rRNA from 1 species
CUACGGGGUGCACCAGGCGCGAAACCUUUACACUGUACGUAAGUGCGAUAAGGGGACUCCCAGUGCUCAUGCAUUGCAUGGGCUUUUGCUAACUGUAAAUAUGUUGGCGAAUAAGUGGUGGGUAAGACGGGUGCCAGCCGCCGCGGUAACACCUGCGCCACAAGUGGCAAUCACGUUUAUUGGGCCUAAAGCGUUCGUAGCCGGAUAGAUCAGUCUUGAGUGAAAUCGUUGCGCUCAACAAAACGACGUGCUCGAGAUACUGUUUAUCUAGGGACCGGGAGGAGUGAGGGGUAUUUCGGAGGGAGCGGUAAAAUGCUAUAAUCUCCGGAGGACCACCUGUGGCGAAGGCGCCUCACUAGAACGGGUCCGACGGUGAGGAACGAAAGCUAGGGGAGCAAACCGGAUUAGAUACCCUCGUAGUC